CUGCAAAGGACGAGAAAAAGGUCUUAGAUCUAUGACUAAUGCUCAAUGAGUGCGAACAAUGAACAAAAACUACUUGAGUGUUGAGAAAGGACAUAUUCCAUCUUUCUUAUCUACAGAGGAAAUUAUGCAAUAGAUCAAAACAAAUUCAUCAAGUGCUCAAGGGGAGUCUCAAGGGCUUAAAUCUAUUUGCUCAAUUGAAGAUUCUGAAAAUGAGGAGCGAUAUUUCAAUCAAAAUGAUCAUUAUGUUACUCAAAGUAUGUCAAGACCUUCUGUUGCUCAAAGAUGGCGAACAAUGAAUAAAAAGUUUUUGACUUCUGAGAAAGAGCAUAAGCAAGCUGAUGUUCCAAUUUCUCUUUCUAUUGAUGGUGUUAUGGAGUCCACCCCAACAUCUGAAACAAAUUUUUCUCAAGGAUCACGAACAAUGAAUGAGCAAUUUUUUGGCUUUUGAGAAAGAGUAUAUGCAAUCUGAUGUUGCAUUUCUUCUUUCUAAUGAUAGUGUUAUGGAGUCCACCCCAAUAUUUGAAACAAGUUUCUCUCAAGGAUGGAGAACAACAGAUAAAACAUCUUUGGCUCAUGAAAAAGAGGUUUGCAUUCUAAAGUCGUCCAAAAAUGACUAUGGACCAGUUAGAAACUAGUCGCAAAAUGAUGUAUGGACCAGUUGGUAACUAGUCACAAAAAUGAUUUAAUGAGCAAAA